UAGGGAAUCUUCCGCAAUGGGCGAAAGCCUGACGGAGCAACGCCGCGUGAGUGAUGAAGGUCUUCGGAUCGUAAAACUCUGUUAUAAGGGAAGAACAAAUGUGUAAGUAACUAUGCACGUCUUGACGGUACCUAAUCAGAAAGCCACGGCUAACUACGUGCCAGCAGCCGCGGUAAUACGUAGGUGGCAAGCGUUAUCCGGAAUUAUUGGGCGUAAAGCGCGCGUAGGCGGUUUUUUAAGUCUGAUGUGAAAGCCCACGGCUCAACCGUGGAGGGUCCUUGGAAACUGGAAAACUUGAGUGCAGAAGAUGAAAGUGGAAUUCCAUGUGUAGCGGUGAAAUGCGCCGAGAUAUGGAGGAACACCAGUGGCGAAGGCGACUUUCUGGUCUGUAACUGACGCUGAUGUGCGAAAGCGUGGGGAUCAAACAGG
rnacentral:rRNA from 1 species